CCUUCAACAGUACUAGGGGAACCUGUGUGGUAAUCGACACUCCACGUUAAUAACUAACCUUCCUUUGAAAAAUACCAGCCUGUAUACCUCCGCCUUAGCUCACCUUUAAGAGACUUAUAGUGAGCAAGAAGUUAACUCAACCAAAUGGCAGGUCAAGGUGCAGCUUAUGGGAAGGGGCAUCAUGGGUGACAAUUCGAUAAAAGAAUAAUGGACUCUUCUUGGAAACAGGAGGAUGAAAAUGGACUUAGAAGUAAGGAGGCCUUUAGAAAAGACUCCUGAAAUACUCCCUAGAAGGUGCACAAAUC
rnacentral:rRNA from 1 species